GGGGACGACUGGUUUUGACAGCAAGGUUAGUGAACAUGUAAGCAUACCGAGGAGUGAAAUGAAUACUCGUAAAACUUAUUUCGACAAUUAAACGGCGAAAAUAACUACGCUUUAGCUGCCUAACAAUCUGAAUUACAGUAAGAUUUCGGCCUAGACACAUAAGAUGUGUAAGCUAAAUGUUUCUUGAAAGCGUUGAUUUACCGCGUUCAGCUAAGAAGCAUCGUAAAAGUAAAUAUGGAAACUCGAACGCUUCAAUCGGGUUUUGAAAUACAAGAAGAUAAGCUUGCAAGUAGGUUGUUUUUAGUCAGCUGCAAGUCGAAAAUCAAUUAAAAACUAAGUAUGUAGAAAGCAUUUUGGCUGCUUGUUUGGACCCGAGUUCGAUUCUCGGCGUCUCCACAA
rnacentral:tmRNA from 1 species